UACAGAGGUCUCAAGCGUUGUUCGGAUUCAUUGGGCGUAAAGCGCGCGUAGGCGGACCUGCAAGUCGGGGGUGAAAGCCGAGGCUCAACCUCGGAACUGCCUUCGAUACUGGCGGGUCUCGAGUCCGGGAGAGGUGAGUGGAAUUCCUAGUGUAGAGGUGAAAUUCGUAGAUAUUAAGGAAGAACACCAGUGGCGAAAGGCGGCUCCAGCUGGCCCGGU
rnacentral:rRNA from 1 species